rnacentral:misc_RNA from 1 species
AAGUCGUAACAAGGUUUCCGUAGGUGAACCUGCGGAAGGAUCAUUCAAGCUAAAUUUAAUUGGCUACCUUCUCUGUUAACUAGUCUUUUAUGUUUUUGUUGGCUGCUAUUUUCUAUUUUUCUGGCUAAGCUUGUUUAGACGAUUUCUUGUGGUAGUUACUUAAGAACCUCACAUGGGAAAGUUGACUCUAGAUAUAGUGUAUGCUUGUAAGACAAUAAAUGAAAAAUGCUACCUAAUAGUUAUACCUUUAUGUUUUAUCUCUUGUAAAUCUUUACCAGAAAAUGUUAAAAACAUUACAACUUUCAACAAUGGAUCCCUCGGCUCUCA